rnacentral:lncRNA from 14 species
AGCAAUUCCAAUUUCGUUACCCCCCAGAGGAUUCACCUUGUGCAUAUGUGGAAAAGAAAACUACCUCACAAAGGAGAUGGGGGAACAGAGCUGGCAUGAGAGCUUCCUCACUUUCUCAUUUGCAGCUGUCAGCAAAACCUGAAUUGGCAGUUUGCAGACACAGCAUUCAGAAGAUAGAACAGGUAUUUUAAACAAGUCAAACGCAGCAGCUGGAAAAAAAACACCACACUUAAAAAAAGGUAAGAGCACACACUGUUCUUGUGAAGCAUUAGUAAUCACAAUAAAUAGCAUAUUAGGUUACUACAGUAAGAGUCCCCCAAGUUCUGCUAGGAUAUAUUUAACAAUAUUUUUGCAUUGUCUUUACAUUACUGCAGAAUAUCAAUGUUUUGUCUCUUUAUCUUGUCUUGAGAAUAAGUACUAGAAGGCGGCAUUUGUUGCUCAGUGUCUUGCAGAAAUCCUACUAGCUUUAAAUGUAGCCUCUAAGUACCAAAUUAAGCAGUACGAUCUAAGCAGCCAGGAAUGCUGGUUAAAUUUGCAACUUCCAUUACAAAGGAAAACUGAAUUAGCAGCAUAAUCUUUCUCUGAAAAAGAACUGGGCGUACACUCAUAUUUUCAA